AGUGAACGCUGGCGGUAGGCCUAACACAUGCAAGUCGAACGGCAGCACAGUAAGAGCUUGCUCUUACGGGUGGCGAGUGGCGGACGGGUGAGGAAUACAUCGGAAUCUACUUUUUCGUGGGGGAUAACGUAGGGAAACUUACGCUAAUACCGCAUACGACCUACGGGUGAAAGCAGGGGAUCUUCGGACCUUGCGCGAUUGAAUGAGCCGAUGUCGGAUUAGCUAGUUGGCGGGGUAAAGGCCCACCAAGGCGGCGAUCCGUAGCUGGUCUGAGAGGAUGAUCAGACACAAUGGAAAUGGGACAGGGACCAGACGCCUACGGGAGGAAGCAGUGGGGAAUAUUGGACAAUGGGCGCAAGCCUGACACAGACAAACAGCGUGGGUGAAGAAGGCGUUCGGGUUGUAAAGCCCUUUUGUUGGGGAAGAAAAGAAGCAGGUUAAUACCCCGCUGUUCUGACGGUACCCAAAGAAUAAGCACCGGCUAACUUCGUG
rnacentral:rRNA from 1 species